GGAGGGUGCAAGCGUUGUUCGGAAUUAUUGGGCGUAAAGAGCGUGUAGGCGGUUCGGUAAGUCAGAUGUGAAAGCCCUGGGCUCAACCCAGGAAGUGCAUUUGAAACUACCAGACUUGAGUACGGGAGAGGAGGGGGGAAUUCCCGGUGUAGAGGUGAAAUUCGUAGAUAUCGGGAGGAAUACCAGUGGCGAAGGCGCCCCUCUGGACCGAUACUGACGCUGAGACGCGAAAGCGUGGGGAGCAAACAGGAUUAGAUACCCUGGGUAGUCCACGCCGUAAACGAUGAGCACUAGGUGUAGCGGGUAUUGACCCCCCUGCUGUGCCGUAGCUAACGCAUUAAGUGCUCCGCCUGGGGACUACGGUCGCAAGACUA
rnacentral:rRNA from 1 species